GUGGGGAAUUUUGGACAAUGGGCGCAAGCCUGAUCCAGCAAUGCCGCGUGUGUGAAGAAGGCCUUCGGGUUGUAAAGCACUUUUGUCCGGAAAGAAAUCUCCUGGGUUAAUACCUCGGGGGGAUGACGGUACCGGAAGAAUAAGCACCGGCUAACUACGUGCCAGCAGCCGCGGUAAUACGUAGGGUGCGAGCGUUAAUCGGAAUUACUGGGCGUAAAGCGUGCGCAGGCGGUUUUGUAAGACAGGCGUGAAAUCCCCGGGCUCAACCUGGGAAUGGCGCUUGUGACUGCAAGGCUGGAGUGCGGCAGAGGGGGAUGGAAUUCCGCGUGUAGCAGUGAAAUGCGUAGAUAUGGGGAGGAACACCAGUGGCGAAGGCGGCUUUCUGGACGAAAACUGACGCUGAGGCGCGAAAGCCAGGGGAGCGAACGGGAUUAGAAACCCGUGUAGUCC
rnacentral:rRNA from 1 species